CGCUAUCACUCCUACGGGAGCAGCAGUAGGGAAUAUUGGUCAAUGGGCGAAAGCCUGAACCAGCCAUGCCGCGUGUCAGAUGAAGGUCCUCUGGAUUGUAAAUGACUUUUCUACGGGAAGAAUGAGCCGUCUGCGGACGGAAGUUGACGGUACCGUAGGAAUAAGCACCGGCUAACUACGUGCCAGCAGCCGCGGUAAUACGUAGGGUGCAAGCGUUGUCCGGAUUUACUGGGUUUAAAGGGUACGUAGGCGGUUGUGCCAAGUCUGGGGUGAAAGUUUGCAGCUCAACUGUAAAAAUUGCCUUGGAUACUGGUCGGCUAGAGUAGUGGAGCGGUGGCUGGAAUUUAUAGUGUAGCGGUGAAAUGCUUAGAUACUAUGAGGAACACCAAUUGCGAAGGCAGGUCACUGGUCACUAACUGACGCUGAGGUACGAAAGUGUGGGGAUCAAACAGGAUUAGAUACCCUGGUAG
rnacentral:rRNA from 1 species